rnacentral:rRNA from 1 species
UACGAAGGGGGCUAGCGUUGCUCGGAAUCACUGGGCGUAAAGCGCACGUAGGCGGCUUACUAAGUCAGGGGUGAAAUCCUGGAGCUCAACUCCAGAACUGCCUUUGAUACUGGUGAGCUUGAGUCCGGAAGAGGUGAGUGGAACUGCGAGUGUAGAGGUGAAAUUCGUAGAUAUUCGCAAGAACACCAGUGGCGAAGGCGGCUCACUGGUCCGGUACUGACGCUGAGGUGCGAAAGCGUGGGGAG